rnacentral:rRNA from 1 species
UACGUAGGGUGCAAGCGUUAAUCGGAAUUACUGGGCGUAAAGCGUGCGCAGGCGGUUUUGUAAGUCUGUCGUGAAAUCCCCGGGCUCAACCUGGGAAUUGCGAUGGAGACUGCAAGGCUAGAAUCUGGCAGAGGGGGGUAGAAUUCCACGUGUAGCAGUGAAAUGCGUAGAGAUGUGGAGGAACACCGAUGGCGAAGGCAGCCCCCUGGGGUCAAGAUUGACGCUCAUGCACGAAAGGCGUGGGGAGCAAACAGG